GUCAUGGGUAUUACAACCAUAUAAAAGCCGAGCGCUUCACAACACACGCAGAAGAGAAGUUGUACACAUAAGACUGUUCGGAUUAUUUACGAUCACUUGUAACAACAUGUUGCGAACGUACGUCGUAUGUUAUCUGCUCCUCAUCAGCGGUCUGGGCGUCUGUGGCACAGAGGACAAGGAGAAGAGUUUCUGGGAUAGCCCGUGGGCCUGGGUCCCCGCUGUUGUGGGUGGAACUGUAGCAGGUGCGGUACUGGGGCCAGUUGCUAUCGGG